AUUGAACGCUGGCGGCAGGCCUAACACAUGCAAGUCGAGCGGGGUUUUCGGACCUAGCGGCGGACGGGUGAGUAAUGCGUAGGAAGCUACCCGAUAGAGGGGGAUACCAGUUGGAAACGACUGUUAAUACCGCAUAAUGUCUACGGACCAAAGUGUGGGACCUUCGGGCCACAUGCUAUCGGAUGCGCCUACGUGGGAUUAGCUAGUUGGUGGGGUAAUGGCUCACCAAGGCGACGAUCCCUAGCUGGUUUGAGAGGAUGAUCAGCCACACUGGAACUGAGACACGGUCCAGAAUCCUACGGGAGGAAGCAGUGGGGAAUAUUGGACAAUGGGCGCAAGCCUGAUCCAGCCAUGCCGCGUGUGUGAAGAAGGCCUUCGGGUUGUAAAGCACUUUCAGUAGGGAGGAAGGGUGUUGUGUUAAUAGCACAGCAUUUUGACGUUACCUACAGAAGAAGCACCGGCUAACUCUGUGCCAGCAGCCGCCGUAACAC
rnacentral:rRNA from 1 species